GUUGCUCACAACAAUGAUUUAUUUCUAGAGAAGGAACAGAUUUAUUUCCAGAGAGGGAACAGCCAGGGAAAUCCCUUUGUCCUUAAAUUCUGCACAUGGGCUUGAAACACUCCAUAAUUUUGAAGCUCAUGCUUCAUAUACCAACAACUCCACCCCUUCUUUCAAUUUGUCAACAAUUCUUUUCCUACUUUCCUACUAGCUAAAUACAUGGUGAUGAACGAUUUGUUCAGUACAAAUCACUCACAGCUCAUGGCUCUGAGACCUCUGGGUCUUUUCCUCCUCUGCCCCCUUAAAAUUCCACAAAACACCACUUUGGUCUCAUUCUUUGGAAACCUCUGUGUAAAACACCUUUCCCCACUGAUUUGUCCUCGCUCUCCCUUGCAAAUGUUGCUUUAUUAUUGUAUUGUUGCUCAUAAUCUGGUUAAGUUUAGGAAUAUAUAAUUUAUACAUAUAAUACUCACCUACAUAUAGAGAAAAAUAAGACUUCAGUAUUUUUCUGUACAUAUAUAUAAACACAUACUGUGAAUACAAUAUAAUAACAUAUUUACACCAUGUACACAAACAUACAUGUGUAUAUAUGUGCAAAAAAUAAUUAAAUUUCCCUGAUCUAUCCCUGUUUGUAGGCGGAUCCUGAGAAAUGUGAGGCACCCACACUUUUAGAUUACAUAUUUGCUAAGCCCAUGAAAUUCAGUGUGUUUGUGUACAUUUCAAACAAAGAUCUACACGGGCUCUCCAAACACUGCUAAAACAAGAAUGGGUGACUUGUAGGUCAGGUGUUAUUUUUCCUAACUCGCUCCACAGCCAGGAUUCCAAUGUUUUCAUAACUCCUACUGUUUGCACCCAGCUUGCCUGGUGUUACAAUUGAGAUAAAGCCUCAUGCACACUCUUGCUUUUCAUGCCUAAAAUAUUUUGCUAACCCCCAAAUUUCAGCAGGGUUUUGGGGGUGGGUGGCACUGAUUUGUCAGACAAAAGAGAAGCAGCUGGAGCAAGCUGUGAGGCUGAUCUGGAGAUGGAAGGGUCUGUGUCCUGUUCCAAAGGGAGCUGAUGACACACAGGCAGGAGUUUUCUUAGUGUCAUGUUUUAUUUACAAAACACACAGUGCCACGAUCUCCCUCCAGCAACAAAACUUGUGGAUCCUGCACGUUCCUGUGUGGAACCUGGCGAGGAACUCGGGGCUGGCAGCUGCUCCUGAGCUUCCAGCAUUGCCUUGGGGCUCUCCAAGGACUCAAAUCUUGUGCAGAAACUGGAUGAGCCCUCAUUCCCAGCCAGCCAGCAGCAGGAUUCCUGCUGGAGACUUCCUUACACUCUUCUCACGGGUGUACUCUGCAUACCAGAGCCAGGCCAUGAUUUCCACCAAGCUGAUGGUUUCCCAGUCUUAACAACCGGUCUCCAUCUGAAACCAUCCCCCAAAAGCUGUCAACACCAAUGGCAAGUCCAUCUCAAGCUUGUUAAAAAUCCCAUUUUUGAUACCAAAGGUAAAAAAAAUUCAGCUCAGAAAAUUUUGAGGCAGGUAAUUUUGACAUGGGAGAAAUAUGACUUGCCAUUCCUCUCCUCCUAGUGGGUUUUUAAAAAUUUAUUUAUUAGAAGUUGUUGUACUUCAUGCUUUUCUGGUGAAAGAUACUUUCAAAAUGGAAAAAUAUUCUAUUGGUGAGUUUUGGAAGGUUUAUACUCAGAAAAAUGCUACCAAUAACAUCCUUCUCAUAUAAAAAUGUCAUAAGUCCCUUUUUUCCUAAUAUAGCAGUGACCACUAUAGGAUUUUUCCUGGUGCAGCACUUUGGAUUAGGAAAACCCAUCAUAUUCCAUACUCCUGAUGAAUUCCUCGGUCGAAUCUGACGUUUAAAGCUCUGAGAUGAGGCACAAGAACCAUUUUGAUGUGUCCUGUCCAUGGCUGAGCAUCCCUGGGCAAAGCAUGGCCAUCAUCUGCUCUGCUUCUUGGAGAAAGAGGAGAAACAGCUCCAGAGGAGGCUUUGUCCUACUUUAAGUGGAGAGCAGCCGUGGCGGAUCAGUUGACGCUGCUUUGGCACCGAGAGGAGCCCCGUCUUCCCCUCUUCCUCAGGAAUCCCUUUGCUGGGCCAAAGGGAGUUGCAUAACCAGCUGGAAAGCUCUUAUGGGCUUUCACAGGACUCAGCUGAGCUCUUCUCAGAGGGAAAAGGGAAAAACACAGACAGCAGCCAGUGCUGAACACCCAGCAAAGGGGUUUUUGCCCCUUUUUCAGCUGGUUUGUGGUGGGGUGAGCACAACUUCCCCUUCACAGCGUCAGCGACUCUCAGCACAGCUCACCUGGAUGUGGUGGCACAGAGGGGUGUGAGCAGACCAUGCAAAACAAGGAAUAGCCACUCAAAGUCCCACUUUGCUGCUCAAAGUGGGACAUUUCUGUGCAGCUGCAGCCUCACGUGGCUCGAAGGCAGCUCAUCGUGGACGUUCCUCAUUGCACUGGCCAGAGAUGCACGUUUGCAGCCUGGGACACGGCCUCUGAUCUCAGCCCAGCU
rnacentral:lncRNA from 1 species